UUCAGGUGAUCUGCCUCCUGCCUCAGCCUCCCAAAGUGCUGGGAUUAUAGGCGUGAGCCACUGUGCCCGGCCAAGAGCAACUUUUUUAAACCUACAGUCCAAUUCUUUUCCCUUAUCUCUCAGGAGACUUUGGGCUCACCUAGGAGCCCACUUUUACCUCCUUCCUCAGUUGUGCAUAUAACAGAGGAAGGGGCAGAAUCGGCCUUCAGGGUUUAAAGGGGCCAUGAGUCGGGGUCAGCCCUGAGGAGGAGUGGGGUGAAUGCUAUCCCAGGAUAGAGAUGGAGCCCUGGUGGCCUGAUUCCUCCUGGCCUGGCCAGUACCACUGAAGCUUCCCAACACCUCCAAGCUUAUUAAAGAACCAGAGUGACUUGCCUGUCCCAGAGAGACUUGGGAUGGUCAGAAACGGGGGUGAGGGGCCCGGGGCAAGCCAAGCCUGUAAAUGAUGGCAGCCUGGGGCUUUAGUUUGGGAACACACUCACACCUCCUACAGGUCAGGCUGCACACUCGUGUUAUUUGAUAACCCCAUCUGCAGGUGAGGAAACUGAGGCGCAGUUAUUUGUCCUCAGGCAUGCUCCUUAGAGGCCACUUGAUUGCAGAGAAGGUCUACAGAGCAGUGGUUAGAACUUGGCCCUGAGGACAGAGCUUUUGCUCCGUAUGAGGCUGGCAGGUAACGAUCUUCUCAGUUUUCUCCCCAGGAAUCUGGAACGAUGAAGGUGAUGAUUGUGCCUGUGGCCAAGACCGGGAGAACCCUGGAUCCCUACACCUUCCCCACCCCUGGAAUGUCACUAUACAUAUCUGACUUCUUCUGAUGUUGCCUUUGACCCUAAAGUCAAUAUGAUAAAGUAACAAGAAGCUGGGACAGAGGAACAAACACAGCCCACUCAAGCAGUGGUGGCAACAUUCUGUUAGAAAGGAGGGGAGUCAAAGAAAAAAACACCCCUCCGCCCAUCUCCUUAUCACCUCCCUAAAGACAGAGGAGAACAUGGACACCCUCCAUCCUGAUAGACAUGCCAUGUGGUCAGUUUGUGCGGUAAACAGGAAAAAAAAAAAACCUAAAGAUAUUGUAGACCUUUAUUUUCUUUAAAUCUCCUAAUAAAAACAUUAAACUUUCAAGAAGAUUCCAAACUGACAUUGCAUAGACCAACUCCUUUCCAAAAAUAUCUCUGAUAUACUCUCCAACUCUCUCAAUAUAUAGAAUUUGAAGUCCAGGAGCUGUGGGCACCUGGUGGGAAUUCACUGAGCUCAAGGGGACAAGAGGGCUGAGGACAGGGCUCCCACAUGGGGACAAGGCCAGGCUUUCUGGCCUCUGGUUCCAGCCAGCAUCAAUUUGGUUGUGGCCAAAUUCUCAGUCCAAUCACCCUGGCCCAGGGCCUGGCGUGGGAGGAUGUGGCAGGCUCUGUCUCCUUCUGGGGUUCCUGGUCUGGAGGAGUCUCCCCAACAGCGCCAAAGCUGGCUGUUUUCCACCCAAAGCCCCAGAACUUUGAAUGAGAGGCAAAUCUACCCUGAAUGCACCUCCCUCCUAGGCUGGGUGAGGUCACGCAGACACAGAAGGGCAGGACAGAACUCCCCAUCUUCUGGGGGCCAAUUCGUCUGGACACUGUGCGGUCAGCUUCCUUUUUAAAGUGCCAGUAUCGGUGGGGCAGGAAGGGACUCUCAGGGCUGAGCAGAGCCUUCUCCAGCGCGAGC
rnacentral:lncRNA from 1 species